rnacentral:rRNA from 1 species
GUGCUAAGGUAGCAUAAUAGCUUGUCUUUUAAUUUGAGUCUGGAAUGAAAGGCUUUAUAUGGUCAAACUUUAUUUUAUAGCCAAGUUGAAUUUAAUAACUAGCUGAAAAUGUCUAGAUAAUCACAAAAGACGAUAAGACCCUAUGAAAUUUUAUACACUAGGUAUAGCAUCACACUUUCAAUAUUAGCUACUACACUACCGUGUAUUUAACUGGGACGGUUAGUGCCUUACUAAAAAACGCCACUUCCAAUUAAUAAGUCACUUUAAUUUGUGUAUGAACCUUGAAAGAUAGUUGAAUAAAUUACUCUAGGGAUAACAGCGUAAUUUCUUUGUAAAGCUCUUAUAGAUAAAGAA